AAAGACAAUGAGAGAGGACCACUUUUCUUCGAAUUAGUGGGAAAGGAUAGAUAGAUAAUUAUGAGCAUGUUUUAAUAAAACGGCACAUAAAAGAGAAGACACGCAGCAUUUACUGACUUGUAGAAUAACGACUUCAGUAGAUUACUACAUCUCCAGCUAAAACAAGGAAACCAUAGCAGCGCAGAUUUUAAACUGAAUGACACUGAACAACAAUUUAAUUGAGUGCUUUAUUUUUCUUUCAGGUGGAAUAGUAAACCAUUGAAGAACUUAUCACCUCAAAAUUGUGUGGCUCAAUUGAGAAUUGCGUGAGGACCUCCUGAGCUUUCUGUCGCCCUUUGAAGCCAUCAUCAUGAUCGUUGAAGCUCAGCAGCACAAGGUCUUUACAAACGUGGAUCGCCUACUGAGGACUACAAAUCCAUCUUCAACGCUACCAUACUAAGGCCAAAUCACUCACACCCAGAGAACCAAACAAGAAGAUCCAAUUGCAAAUCACAAGACUAGGUAAGAGCCACUUAAAUCCAGCCCCAAGGUCUUACAAGGAUAUCAUAGAGGACAAUAAGCUUAAUUAACAUACUUGCUACAAAAUAUGUAAUUGUAAAACGCUAGCAACAAUAGUAAAGCUAUCGAAACAGAAAUUCUGCGCAAGAUCGCAGUAAUGGAUUGACAAGCUAUAUCUAAAUAAACAAAACUCGUGCUCAUGUUUGCUCUGUAAAAUAAUAACAUGAGAUGCGUGCGUUGGAUAAUGAAAUAACUUGGAACGAAUGUUACCUGCAAUAACGGGGUGGUGCAAUGGAAUAAAAGCUUGAGUGCAAGGAAAGCAUACUGUUUAAUAUAGAAUAGAAGGUAAGCCCUGAUAUCAUAAUUUCCAGUGUCUUUGUUUUUUAUGUACUCUGUGAUGUGUGACUGCCAGUUUCAAGUGCUGAAACAUGUUUUAGUAGAAUUCUCUUAAUAGCCCAUAUUACCAAGAUGAAUAUUUGAUGGGAGCAGAUAGUGAUGAACAAUGAGAACCCAGAUUACAAAUUCAUGAUCUUGCUAACGACUGAUUCUACGUGAAGGGGCAUGUGACUACAUGAUUCUAAGUGCAGGAAAAUCGAAUUGAGGAUAUAGGAUAUAAGUAGGAGAAUACCUUCGGGUCACCGUCAUAAAUUGCAAUAUCGUGCCAUGGAUGAAUUGAUUGCUAGCUGGAGUCGGGGCCGCGCUUUAGCCAUGGAUUGUAAGGCAAAGAGAAGAGAAAGCGGGACACAGAGACUAGAGGGGAGAACCCGGGAAAUCCCCGUGCGAUCUCCCCUCCAAACACGAAAAUGAUAAUUUUAUUAAGAUAGUGGUUGACCUGCCAUGCAAGCGCACCUGUCAUGGCAAAGGUCGGAUGACAAAGAUAAUAAACAAGACCUUGGCCUCUUGGCCUUCUGGUCCCGAUAUAUAUCUUAUACAUCAUCCUCAUAAAUAAAUCGAACACCAACACCAGCAUCAUCUCCUUCCUGUCCUUCUCCACCAACAAAUUACACAUAACAUGCUACACCACAGCUCACAUAACCAAUCUUCAGCCAUGUCUACAUCCAGCAACACGUUCAGCGGAUUCUGUAACUGCUUACAACACCACCUGCAGAAAAAAUCUCAAAUCAUCUUCUGCUUUCCGCCAACAACCAAACUUAAAUAUUGCUAAAAUUCCUCAUGAUCGAAGAAAGCAUGGCCGGAAGGGACAGAUCCGCUUAAUAUUUGAGCUAUCGAAACAGAGCCGCGCCACAUCUACAGAACAAAAUUAGAUUUACGCGGAUUAAUGACUUGAUCAAUAACCAAUAGACAGAUAUUCAAUCAGAUCUAGCUUAGGAACGUAAACAAAACACUUAUACAUAC
rnacentral:lncRNA from 1 species